rnacentral:lncRNA from 1 species
GUCUCCGGGAGAGUAUCGCCAGAAACCAACCUGGAUAUGAACGUGAGCUCCUCAAAUGAAUCUUCAGACAGUAUCCGAGGACAGCGAAGCUACAGAUAAACAGCGUUUUCUCGUGUUGUCUCUGCUGCGAGUUGAGCUGAGCUCCUCGGACUGUAGUUGAGUUUUUCUACAGUCUGAGACCUGGUUGAUAUAUCUGGGCUUGUUCCUGAUCUGCUGUCCCGGAGGAACUCAGGCUGCUGUAUGGACACUCGGCCGCCGCGCUGCUGCUGGGUUUGACCUCGAUCACUACAGGGAUGUCUGAGGUAGAGGUUGGUGUCCCUCUCUCCCCCACUCCUUCUCUCAUCGAGGUGAGAGCAGAAACAAGUUUGGUGCUGAAGAGUUUCCUUCGGAAAGCUCUUUCAAUUCCCCCUGCAGACCGGCCUGGACGGGUUGGGGGAGCAUAUAAUGACCCCAACAUAUUCAGGGCGUUGGUAAAAGAGAAGAAGAAAAAAGAAGAAAGUGGGUGGGACUCUCUGGAUGAACAGAUCAGUGCAGCGGAGGAGAAGAAACACGGGAUAAAAAACCUGAUAAAGAGGCGAUUAAGGCCACAUCCCCUGAAAAAAGACCACAAUGCUGAUCAGUCACAUCACGGCCAUGCGCAAAAGGGUACUCUGGAGAGGAAGUCGGGGCAGGAGAAAGGGGUUCCGUCCAAGAACGGCAGCGCUACUAUUAAGUCACUCAAUGAGGUGAAAUAGUAAUACGAUUGAUUAUUUUUUGUUUUUGAGAGCACGUUUAUUUUUUCUUUC